rnacentral:rRNA from 1 species
CCUACGGGAGGCAGCAGUAAGGAAUAUUGGUCAAUGGAGGCAACUCUGAACCAGCCAUGCCGCGUGCAGGAAGACUGCCCUAUGGGUUGUAAACUGCUUUUAUCCGGGAAUAAACCUGCUUACGUGUAAGUAGCUGAAUGUACCGGAAGAAUAAGGAUCGGCUAACUCCGUGCCAGCAGCCGCGGUAAUACGGAGGAUCCAAGCGUUAUCCGGAUUUAUUGGGUUUAAAGGGUGCGUAGGCGGCCUGUUAAGUCAGGGGUGAAAGACGGUAGCUCAACUAUCGCAGUGCCCUUGAUACUGAUGGGCUUGAAUGGACUAGAGGUAGGCGGAAUGAGACAAGUAGCGGUGAAAUGCAUAGAUAUGUCUCAGAACACCGAUUGCGAAGGCAGCUUACUAUGGUCUUAUUGACGCUGAGGCACGAAAGCGUGGGGAUCAAACAGGAUUAGAUACCCUGGUAGUCCACGCCCUAAACGANANACACUCGCUGUGUCGAUACACAGUCGAGCGCGAGACGAAGUACGUUAGUCGUUCCGCCGUCGGGAGGACGCCGCGAGGAGAACGUACGAAGUAGUAGUAGACGGAGAGAGACGCGACGACGGACGACGACGGAGGGAGGAGG